GUUGACCUCUUUCAGUUGGUGACUGCAUUACUCAUUUAAACAAUUAUACAGGAAAGAUGAGAGGUAUCAGCUUUGAAGAUAUUUAUUCACCAGAGAGAGUUCCCGACAAGCCAGCAAGGGGGUGCAGAGACUCAAGAACAGUGAUCCUGCCUCUCCCCAUCAGAAACAAAUAUGUCUCUCUUCAGUUUGUGUAGCCCCAAACACCAGCCAAUUAACUUGAAGCUGAGUUUUGACUCAAACUCGUGACCCUUCAGGCCAUAGGGCCCUGUGUUCUGCAUCUGGUGUCGUUGAACCAAGUUAGGAUAAAAAUAAUCUCUGCUAUUGUUUCUUUGUGUUUGUGUUGUUUCUUUUUCCUUGCUUUUAAAAAUAAAUAAUGCUUUUAAGACCUA